GGGAGGCAGCAGUGAGGAAUAUUGGUCAAUGGCCGGAAGGCUGAACCAGCCAAGUAGCGUGCAGGAUGACUGCCUUAUGGGUUGUAAACUGCUUUUUUACGGGAAUAAUUAUGAUCACGUGUGAUUAUUUGCAUGUACCGUAAGAAUAAGGAUCGGCUAACUCCGUGCCAGCAGCCGCGGUAAUACGGAGGAUCCUAGUGUUAUCCGGAUUUAUUGGGUUUAAAGGGAGCGUAGGCGGGAGGUCAAGUCAGCUGUGAAAUGUAUCUGCUUAACGGGUACACUGCAGUUGAAACUGGUUUUCUUGAGUGCGUAAGAGGCAGGCGGAAUUCGUUGUGUAGCGGUGAAAUGCUUAGAUAUGACGAGGAACUCCUAUUGCGAAGGCAGCUUGCUGGGUCGUUACUGACGCUGAUGCCCGAAGGUGCGGGGAUCAAACAGGAUUAGAUACCCUGGUAGUCCGCACAGUAAACUAUGGAUACUCUCUGCCGGCGAUACAUUGUCGGUGGCCAAGCGAAAGCGUUAAGUAUCCCACCUGGGGAGUACGUUCGCAAGAAUGAAACUCAAAGGAAUUGACGGGGGCCCGCACAAGCGGAGGAACAUGUGGUUUAAUUCGAUGAUACGCGAGGAACCUUACCCGGGUUUGAAUUGCUGAUGGCGGUAUUUGGAGACAGAUACUUCCCUUCGGGGCGUCAGUGAAGGUGCUGCAUGGUUGUCGUCAGCUCGUGCCGUGAGGUGUCGGCUUAAGUGCCAUAACGAGCGCAACCCUUGCCGUUAGUUGCCAUCGGGUCAUGCCGGGCACUCUAUUGGGACUGCCAUCGUAAGAUGUGAGGAGGGUGGGGAUGACGUCAAAUCAGCACGGCCCUUAUGUCCGGGGCGACACACGUGUUACAAUGGGGGGUACAGUGGGAAGCUACCUGGCGACAGGUUGCGGAUCCCCAAAUCCUUUCUCAGUUCGGAUCGGAGUCUGUAACUCGACUCCGUGAAGUUGGAUUCGCUAGUAAUCGCGCAUCAGCCAUGGCGCGGUGAAUACGUUCCCGGGCCUUGUACACACCGCCCGUCAAG
rnacentral:rRNA from 1 species